rnacentral:rRNA from 1 species
CCUACGGGAGGCAGCAGUGGGGAAUAUUGCACAAUGGGCGAAAGCCUGAUGCAGCAACGCCGCGUGAGCGAUGAAGGCCUUCGGGUCGUAAAGCUCUAUCAGCAGGGAAGAAAAUGACGGUACCUGACUAAGAAGCCCCGGCUAACUACGUGCCAGCAGCCGCGGUAAUACGUAGGGGGCAAGCGUUAUCCGGAUUUACUGGGUGUAAAGGGAGCGUAGACGGUUAGGCAAGUCUGAAGUGAAAGCCCGAGGCUCAACCAUGGGACUGCUUUGGAAACUGUAAAACUGGAGUGCAGGAGAGGUAAGCGGAAUUCCUGGUGUAGCGGUGAAAUGCGUAGAUAUUAGGAGGAACACCAGUGGCGAAGGCGGCUUACUGGACUGUAACUGACGUUGAGGCUCGAAGGCGUGGGGAGCAAACAGGAUUAGAUACCCGAGUAGUC